CAAGGAGCUUGCUCCUUUGACGUUAGCGGCGGACGGGUGAGUAACACGUGGGUAACCUACCUAUAAGACUGGGAUAACUUCGGGAAACCGGAGCUAAUACCGGAUAAUAUUUCGAACCGCAUGGUUCGAUAGUGAAAGAUGGUUUUGCUAUCACUUAUAGAUGGACCCGCGCCGUAUUAGCUAGUUGGUAAGGUAACGGCUUACCAAGGCGACGAUACGUAGCCGACCUGAGAGGGUGAUCGGCCACACUGGAACUGAGACACGGUCCAGACUCCUACGGGAGGCAGCAGUAGGGAAUCUUCCGCAAUGGGCGAAAGCCUGACGGAGCAACGCCGCGUGAGUGAUGAAGGUCUUCGGAUCGUAAAACUCUGUUAUUAGGGAAGAACAUACGUGUAAGUAACUGUGCACGUCUUGACGGUACCUAAUCAGAAAGCCACGGCUAACUACGUGCCAGCAGCCGCGGUAAUACGUAGGUGGCAAGCGUUAUCCGGAAUUAUUGGGCGUAAAGCGCGCGUAGGCGGUUUUUUAAGUCUGAUGUGAAAGCCCACGGCUCAACCGUGGAGGGUCAUUGGAAACUGGAAAACUUGAGUGCAGAAGAGGAAAGUGGAAUUCCAUGUGUAGCGGUGAAAUGCGCAGAGAUAUGGAGGAACACCAGUGGCGAAGGCGACUUUCUGGUCUGUAACUGACGCUGAUGUGCGAAAGCGUGGGGAUCAAACAGGAUUAGAUACCCUGGUAGUCCACGCCGUAAACGAUGAGUGCUAAGUGUUAUGGGGGUUUCCGCCCCUUAGUGCUGCAGCUAACGCAUUAAGCACUCCGCCUGGGGAGUACGACCGCAAGGUUGAAACUCAAAGGAAUUGACGGGGACCCGCACAGCGGU
rnacentral:rRNA from 1 species